rnacentral:rRNA from 1 species
GAAGCAACGGGAAGACCCUUACCAAAUCUUGACAUCUUCUGACCCCUCUAGAGAUAGAGUUUUCCCCUUCGGGGGACAGAGUGACAGGUGGUGCAUGGUUGUCGUCAGCUCGUGUCGUGAGAUGUUGGGUUAAGUCCCGCAACGAGCGCAACCCUUAAGCUUAGUUGCCAUCAUUAAGUUGGGCACUUUAAGUUGACUGCCGGUGACAAACCGGAGGAAGGUGGGGAUGACGUCAAAUCAUCAUGCCCCUUAUGAUUUGGGCUACACACGUGCUACAAUGGACAAUACAAAGGGCAGCGAAACCGCGAGGUCAAGCAAAUCCCAUAAAGUUGUUCUCAGUUCGGAUUGUAGUCUGCAACUCGACUAUAUGAAGCUGGAAUCGCU